rfam:Mahella australiensis 50-1 BON, complete genome.
UUGCGUAGGCGUACUCAAUGAGUGCAGCGCAGAGCAAGCGUAGGUCGGGCAUGGACGCCCGACCAGCCGACACUGAGCAUGGACGCGAAUUGCCGGCGCUAGCUUGCUGAAGCGAAACGAAUUAUAAGUACGCAAUCAUUACGUGGCACAAG